rnacentral:lncRNA from 1 species
UACAUGCACACUGCAUAAGUUAACUAAAUAAAUCAAAAGAAUGCUUGAUACUUAUACAGCAUAAUUGCAACAUAGGAAUGCAUAUGAAGCAUAUGCAAAUAAGUUAAAGCAAAUAUAUCACCUGUGUAGUCAGAAUUACUGCUCAAGACGCCAGGGACAUGAAAAUCUUGCCAAGCAUGACUGCAACAGAAUCUUUUCAGUGAUAUAUAGAAUUGCUCAUAACUAAGUACAGAAGGAAUUAGAAGAAAUCUCUACCUCAAUUUAUUGUGAUCAACUAAAGCAAUGGCUAUAUAUUUCCC